rnacentral:rRNA from 1 species
CCACUACGAUGCACUAGCGAUCCGCCGAUGGAGAUUAUAUUGCCUUGGUGGGGAGCUUCCCGGAAACGAAAGUCUUCCGGUUCCGGGGGAAGUAUGGUUGCAAAGCUGAAACUUAAAGGAAUUGACGGAAGGGCACCACCAGGAGUGGAGCCUGCGGCUUAAUUUGACUCAACACGGGGAAACUCACCCGGCCCGGACACUGUGAGGAUUGACAGAUUGAUAGCUUUUUCAUGAUUCAGUGGAUGGUGGUGCAUGGCCGUUCUUAGUUCGUGGAGUGAUUUGUCUGGUUUAUUCCGAUAACGAGCGAGACUCUAACCUACUAAAUAGCUGAUACAUAUUUUUUGUGUAUUCGGCUUCUUAGAGGGAUUUGCGGUGUUCAGCCGAAAGAAAUUGAGCAAUAACAGGUCUGUGAUGCCCUUAGAUGUCCGGGGCUGCACGCGCGCUACACUGGCAAAAUCAACGUGCUUGUCCUGCCCCGAAAGGGGUGGGUAAACCAUUGAAAAUUUGCCGUGAUUGGGAUCGGAAAUUGCAAUUAUUUUCCGUGAACGAGGAAUUCCAAGUAAGUGCGAGUCAUCAGCUCGCGUUGAUUACGCCGGGGCCCUUUUUUGAAAAUUU